CGCAUCUGUGCAUGCAGCAUAUCAAUAAGCGGAGGAAAAGAAACUAACAAGGAUUCCCCUAGUAACGGCGAGUGAAGCGGGAAGAGCUCAAAUCUGAAAUCUUAAAGGGUUUCCCUUUACGAAUUGUAGUUUAAAGAAGUGUUUUCUGUUGAGGUUUUGGUAAAAGUUCUUUGGAAUAGGACAUCAUAGAGGGUGAGAAUCCCGUAUUUGACCUUUACUUUCAACUUUGUGAUACACUUUCAAAGAGUCGGAUUGUUUGGGAAUGCAGUCCAAAAUGGGUGGUAAAUUUCAUCUAAAGCUAAAUAUUGGCGAGAGACCGAUAGCGAACAAGUACCGUGAGGGAAAGAUGAAAAGAACUUUGAAAAGAGAGUUAAACAGUACGUGAAAUUGUCAAAAGGGAAGCGUUUGACACCAGUGUUGUUUUUCUGAAAAUCAAUUAAAGAACUGUUUAUGCUAAGUUGUUUAGACUUUAUCAGCUAACUGUUUAGUUUUGAGCUUUUCUUUAAUGCACUUUUCAGUUAACAAGUCAACAUCAAUUUCUUUUGCUGUAAAAAAGCUUGAGGAAGGUGGCUUGAGAUUCGUCUUAAGUGUUUAUAGCCUCUUGCCUAUGCAGUCGGAGAGAUUGAGGUCUGCAGCGUAGAUCCUUCGGGGCUAAAUGCAUUUGUGCUAAGUUAUAAGCAUUUUAUAGACAACUUGCUGACUAUGAUUUGUCUUGUAGCUUACUCGCUUAUGUUAUUUUACCUACGCUUAGGAUGUUGAGCGCAUGUCUCUCUCU
rnacentral:rRNA from 1 species